rnacentral:rRNA from 1 species
GUAGGGAAUAUUGGGCAAUGGAUGCAAGUCUGACCCAGCCAUGCCGCGUGCAGGAAGAAGGUCCUCUGGAUUGUAAACUGCUUUUUUGGGGGAAGAAUAGUUUUCUUGCGAGGAAAUGUGACGGUACCCUAAUAAUAAGCCACGGCUAACUACGUGCCAGCAGCCGCGGUAAUACGUAGGUGGCAAGCGUUGUCCGGAUUUAUUGGGUUUAAAGGGUGCGUAGGUGGGUUGAUAAGUCAGUGGUGAAAGACGGUUGCUCUACAAUCGAGUUGCCAUUGAUACUGUCGGACUUGAGAGAAGUGGAGGUUCAUGGAAUGGAUGGUGUAGCGGUGAAAUGCAUAGAUAUCAUCCAGAACAUCGAUUGCGAAGGCAGUGGGCUGUACUUUAUCUGACACUGAGGCACGAAAGUGUGGGGAUCAAACAGGAUUAGAAACCCGAGUAGUCC